AACAUGCUUUUUAUAAGACCGCAAAAAUUUUAAUUUUUUGGUCGUAUAUUGCUAUCACGUUGGCGUCGUCGUCCUGCGUCGUCGUCGUCGUCGUCGUCGUCGUCCAAAUACUUUUAGUUUUCGCACUCUAACUUUAGUAAAAGUGAAUAGAAAUCAAUGAAAUUUUAACACAAGGUUUAUGACCACAAAAGGAAGGUUGGGAUUGAUUUUGGGAGUUUUGGUCCCAACAUUUUAGGAAUUGGGGCCAAAAAGGGCCCAAAUAAGCAUUUUCUUGGUUUUCGCACUAUAACUUUAGUUUAAGUGAAUAGAAAUCUAUGAAAUUUUGACACAAGGUUUAUGACCACAAAAGAAAGGUUGGGAUUGAUUUUGGGAGUUUUGGUUCCAACAGUUUAGGAAUUAAAGGGCCAAAAAAGGGCCCAAAUAAGCAUUAUUCUUGGUUUUCGCACAAUAACUUUAGUAUAAGUAAAUAGAAAUCAAUGAAAUUUAAACACAAGGUUUAUGACCAUAAAAGGAAGGUUGGGUUUGAUUUUGGGAGUUUUGGUCCCAACAGUUUAGGAAUAAGGGGCCCAAAGGGUCCAAAAUUGAACUUAGUUUGAUUUUGACAAAAAUUGAAUCCUUGGGGUUCUUUGAUAUGCCGAAUCUAACUAUGUAUGUAGAUUCUUAAUUUUUGGUCCCGUUUUCAAAUUGGUCUACAUUAAGGUCCAAAGGGUCCAAAAUUAAACUUAGUUUGAUUUUGACAAAAAUUGAAUCCUUGGGGUUCUUUGAUAUGCUGAAUUUAAAAAUGUACUUAGAUUUUUAAUUAUUGGCCUAGUUUUCAAGUUGGUCUAAAUGGGGGUCCAAAAUUAAACUUUGUUUGAUUUCAUCAAAAAAUUGAAUAAAUGGGUUCUUUGAUAUGCCAAAUCUAACUGUGUAUGUAGAUUCUUAAUUUUUGGUCCAGUUUUCAAAUUGGUCUACAUUAAGGUCCAAAGGGUCCAAAAUUAAACUAAGUUUGAUUUUAACAAAAAUUAAAUUAUUGGGCUUAUUUGAUAUGCUUUAUCUAAACAUGUACUUUGAUUUUUGAUUAUGGGCCCAGUUUUCAAGUUGGUCCAAAUCAGGAUUCCAUAUUAAGUAUUGUGCAAUAGCAAGAAAUUUUCAAUUGCACAGUAUUGCACAAUAGCAAGAAAUAUCUAAUUGCACAAUAUUGUGCAAUAGCAAUUAAUUUUCAAUUGGAGUUAUCUUUCUUUGUAUAGAAUAGUAGUUGAUAAUAUAUGUUGGAAAUUUGCCAGACAUGACUAUGAUGUCAUUUUCUAUUUUUAUUUGCCAAUAACUUUAUGUAAAUAACUUCAUUGGAAAUUUGCCAAUAUAAAAUGUUGCUGAUGAAGCUUUUUUUCCUUAUCUUAUCUAAAAUGUUUUUAGAUAAUGUAUGUUGGACAUUUGCCAGACAUGACUAUGAUGUCAUUUUCUAUUUUUAUUUGCCAAUAACUUUAUGUAAAUAACUUCAUUGGAAAUUUGCCAAUAUAAAAUGUUGCUGAUGAAGUUUUUUUUAUCUAAAAUAUUUUUAGCUCAAAAGUUGUGUCCAUACUUGUUCUCAUUUCAGAUUUCAUAAAUAAAAAGAAAAUUUCUUCAAACAUUUUUUUGACAGGAUUAAUAUUCAACAGCAUAGCGAAUUGCUCAAAGGCAAAAAAAAUUUUAAGUACAUUAGACCACAUUCAUUCUGUGUCAGAAACCUAUGUUGUGUCAACUAUUUAAUUUUAGAUUUAAAUAAGUUUGAAGAAGAAAUCUUUAAUUGAUUUGUAAAAUCUUGACAUUUGUUUUGUGUAAAAAACCCAUAUAAUGUCAAAAAUUUGAUCACAAUCCAAAUUCAGAGCUGUAUCACGCUUAAAUGUUUUGUCCAUACCUGCCCCAACUGUUCAGGGAUCGACCUCUGCGGUCGUAUAAAGCUGCACCCUGUGGAGCACCUGGUUAUAGUUUUGUCUUGUGUUGUGCUUUAACAUUACUGUCCCAUGUUUGAAAAGGGAGGGGGUUGGUUGCAUGCAAACAUGUUUAACCAUUAGCCACAUUCUGUAUGUGACUGUCUCAUGUCUGGUGCUUGUAAUUUGUUAUUUGCUGCUUUAUAUCAUGUCUGUUUUCUGUUCAUUGCUUUGCAUUUAAUUCAGGCUGUUAGUUUUCUUGUUUGAAUUAUUUUACCUUAUAUGAUGUCAGGGCCCUUUGAUGGCAUGCUAUGCUGUAUGGUUUUUGCUCUCUCUUAAAGGCCAUGCAGUACCCUAAAGUCAUUAAAAGGUCUCUGGUUGAUAGUUGUCUUAUUGGCAAUCUCUGAUGGAUUUCAUUGGGAAUCAUACCACAUCUCUUUAUUUUACAUUUAAAGUCAAGAAUAUAGCCUGCUUUGGCAAUUUAGAUUAGUCUUAAACUUGCCUAUCAUAACAUUAAGUUCAAUGGUUUUCUCUGGGCACUCUGGCUUCCUCCACCAACGAAAACUGGCUGCCUAGAAAUAGCCCAAAGUGGAACUUAAAAGUGGUGUUAAAACAACAACAAUCAAUCAGUCAACCUUAAUUGAUAAGAGUUACAUUUUAAGAAAAUUAUUUUUGUUGAUAAGUGUACAAAUAGUUUAAAUUUCAAGAAAAUAUUACAUAUUUAUAUAUAUGUGAUAAAAACAUUUCAAAUUUAUGUAUUUUAAGUAGAAAUUGUGAGUUCAGAAAUUAUUGCUAUAUUUGAGGAAUGAACAAAAAUUUGAGAUUUAAAUUAUAUGUAAUUUCAGGAAAAUUUGCAUACAGAUUGAUAAUCAAAAAUUCAAGUUCUUAUUUUUGUGAUACUCACACAAUCGCAUUAUUUGCAUUAAAAAAAAAAACUUUAUGAAUUUACAGGAAUUUAAGAUAUGAAUAAAAGUAUAUAUGUUAGGUAAAUGUCAAUAAGAAGCUGUAACCCUACAGGUCAACUAAAGGUCUUCCACUUCAGACCAAUGUCUACACAAUUAGUCAAGCUUUAAAUAACCCUGAUUCCAAAAACAUUGUUAGUUUUAAAUUGAGACUAUAAAUAUCUACCAAAACACCAAACUCCUUAAAGGACAGAUUACAGGAUGAAAAUUUGACGGACCUAAGGUAUUUUUCUAGUCACUUUUAAGCCAUCUACUUUUUUCUUGAUUAUUGGAAUUACAAAAGUUACUCAAAAGGACAUACACAAAAUUACUUUAGAAAAAAAAAAACACUUUUAACUCUGAAAAUAAUGAAAGUAAAAUGGACAAUAAAAACACAGAUACAGGAAAUUUAAGUCAUGUUGACCCAUUGUUGAACUGGUAUGAAGGCCUUUGAAAAGAGAAAUAAAACAUUCAAAAAGGACCAUUAAGUUAUUUUAAAAGUGGCAAAAAUAUUUUUCUAACUAUUAUUUAGUAUUAGAGUGGAAGGUGUCAAAGUUUAUUUGAUCACAGCAUUUAAUAAAAAUGAAUUGUAUAAAAUUUGAAUAAAUCUUAAAUAGAAAUAAUUUGAUAGUGUGAUUUUCAUUAAAGAAUGUGUGAGAAUGUAUUUCCCUAUCAUAGCACAUUUGAUUUAGAUUAUUACAUCAUCACCUGUUAUAAUACAUUAAUGUCUGUUAUCAUACAAUAAUUCAAUAUUGCCUAAAUCUAGUUCUAACAAAAGGCCAAUCUCUUUUAUUUUACCUGACGAUUUUAAUAGAAUGUAUUUACACUUCAGAAGUAUUAAGGAGAUUAGCUUCCAUGUAAAGGUAACCUGUCCAUUUACAGAUUUAUUUACAUUUUUCUAUGUCAUGCUCUUUUAUACUUGUUUAAAUGACCGAGCAAUUAGCAUCAUAAUGAAUGUCUAAUGCCUUACUGUUAUUCAGUGAUAAAAGAAGUGCUGUUGAGAGUCGAAUAUCAGUUAAUGCUUGAGUGAUUCCCCUUUAAUACGUAUAUCAAUACCCGGGAUUUACAGUGAUGACACAAUUCAGGCUGUUGACAUUUGAAAAAAAGUAUUUUUGAUCAUCCACGGAUGCGUAACAGAACAGCCGUUGUAGAUUUCAUUUAAUAGUUCAAUUAUAUAAUAUUUGUAGGAUUACAAAAGCCAAAUUGGAAAUGUACGUUACUGUUAUUGAUUGUAAGUUUUUGUUUUCAAACAUUUGAGAAUUCACAUAUUUUUUCUAACUUUAAAAUACUGCUUCAGUGAUUGUGUUCUUAUUAACUAAUAGAAUAUGCAUUUCUAUUACAGAAAACAUCAGUUAGUGGUAGUUUAUAACUGAUAACAUAAUCAUUAGAUUUGAAUUGAAAUUGUUUGUUUGAAAUUUAUCAUUUUUAAAUCUUUUUUGUCAUUCUAACUGUUGCAGAAUUAUUGGAGAAAAUGCAUUUCAUAUUGAAAACUUUUGUCAAAUUUAAUUCAGUGUAGGAAUCUGUUUCAAAAAUUGAAUUAGAGUUGUAAUUGUGUUACAUGAUCUUUUUAAGUACAUGUAUUUUAUAUCUCAAACCAUUAAUUUUAUAAUUCAUGCAAUUUUGUACUAAAAUGAAAAUCAUGUUUUGGAUUCAAACUUUAGGGUGUUUGAAUGAAGAACGAAUUUCAAAUAUACUCACUUUUUAAUUCUCUAAGCCUUACAAAAAUGUAAUUAAAGAAUUGAUUCAUAUUCAAAAUGAUUUGUAUUGAGCAGGAAUUGAAAAUUUCUCAAUUUAAAUUUUGUGAAAUGUAAAGCCGAAUAUAGGUAAGAUGCUUAGUCUUCAAAUUAGGUUGGUUAAAUUGCUUGUAGCAGGAUUUAUUAAUUUCUCAAUUUUGCAUUGAUCAAAUAUCAGUAACUUUUUGAUUUUUAUUUAAGAAUUGAAUGCUUCUUUUUGUAACUUCAUUGGGGUGUAAUAGCGUUGACCGAAGUACAUUUUGUAUGAAGCGCGUAACGCUUCAUUCUAAAAAUGUGUGCACGGUCAACGCUUUUACAACCCUAUAAAGUUACAAAAAGAAGCAUUCAAUUCUUAUAAUUACAUUUUUUAGCUAGGAUCAUGAAAACACGAAUUUUAUCAAUUUUUGAUUUAAUUCACCUGUGCACUUUAUUGUGGGACCUCGUGUUAACAUGAAUGAUAAGUUUUAUUGAGUAAUGCAAGUGCUUAAGGAAUAACACAUGAUGUGCAGUUUAAGUAACCUGAAUAAUUCAGUUGUUAUAUUCCGCUGAUCUACGAUCUACUGUCUUCCUCGAUAAAGACCGUCAACCUUAAAAUUCACACCGCUUUGCAAUAUGGGAAUUUUUUACUAAGUUGGCAGCUAAAGAAGGAGGAUUUCCGGAUGUUAAUUAAUGUUAAAUGAUGUAAACUGAUGUUAAUUGAUGUUAAUUAAUUAUUAUUGGAUUUGUGUUAAUUGAACACACGUGUUUGGUUUGACAAUUACAAGACAGUUGCGCAGACUCAUUAUCCUGAUCGCUGCCGAUUGGCUCUCUCACAGAGACCAGGCGACGCGGCCAAUGAUUAUAAGGAGUUCAAGCCCUCGUGUGGGAGAAAAUCUGAAACGGAAAGGGCUUGAAUUAUUCGAGUUACAGUUUAAGUCAAUCAGAAUAACGUAUUAUAAUGAAACAUACAUCUAAUGUAAUUAUUUUGAUAAAUUUUAAAAAAAAGGUAGACAUUAAGUAUUUGCAAAGAAACAUGGACUCAAAAUUAUAUAAAGGAAAUGUUAGUUUCAUUAAUGGUAUGGUAUUAAAAUUUUUAAAAAGAUGCAUUUGAGAAAUUUGUAAAUUCAUUGCCAUACAUUUUUUUCCGGCACUCAACUCAAACUCAAUGUUGCUUGAUGCCAAGAGUUUUACGUAAGUUACUGUAAAUGUUAGUGUUGUGGGUUGGACAUAUUUCAGGUGCACAUCAAUAUUGAAUAAGUACACCUGUAUUAUAGUUCAAACAUAUCCAUUGCUUUAAGAUUGAUUAUAAAGAUCAUUGAAGAAAAUCUUAGAAUAAUUAAAGUUUUUUGAAAAAUUACUUCAAACACAUAUAAAGUGAUGAUUUAAGCUGAGAGUCAAUUUGAAACAUCUGUUACCAUUCAAACAACAUAUGAGCAUCUUUUGAUGGUACAGGUGUUUGUUUGUAUUGUAACAGAACUUGUAAUAUCUCUCACAUUUGUUUUGAAAAAAUUACAAAUUAAAUUAUAUUUAUUAUCCUAAAAAGUUACAGUGUUUUUUUUCAAUUACUGAAUCCUUGAACCUUUUCCAGUCAUUUUAAACAGACAGGUUAUGGUAAAUUUUUACUAGAUUAAAAACAGGAUUGUAGCAUCUUUUGUUAAGGGUUUAGGGAAAGGUUUAAGUAAGUUAAAGUCCAUAUAAGUAUAGACAAACUCUGUAUGAUAGACUCGGGUAAACAAAUUUGUACACAAACACAAAAACAAGAAGACUUUUUUGACAUGAAUUUUCAUGUCAACUUGUAAAUUUUAAAUGACUGUAUCAGAAGUAAAACCAAUAAAAAAUAAAAGAACAGUAAACAUUUGAAUGAAUAAAAACUAAAAUUAUAUAACCAUAUAUGUGGACUCAUUAUUAUUCAUUGAAUACCAAUUUUUGUGGAUUUCAUGGUAAAUCAUGAACCAAGAAUUGAAAUCAACCAUGAAAGUAUUAUAUUGAUACUUAUAAUACUUCCAUGAUUCCACGAAGUACAAAUUUUCUUCAGGCAUGUAUGCCGACUUUGGAAAAAGCAUGAAAUCAAAUAUCCACGAACGUAAAAUAUUUUCUCAAUCCACGAAAAUUGAUAUCCAUAAAAAUAAGUGAAUCCGAAGUUAAAACAUAAACUAUUAUAAGAAGGACACUUUUUAAAUAUAGUUUUUAAAUUAUUUGAGGUCAUGCUCGUUAAAUAACUUAAAUUGGACCAUGUUUGCUGAUUAAACAAAUUGCGAUUUAAAUCAGUUAGCUUAAUUUUAUGUAAAGAAGUGGACGAAAUAUGCUUGUAUGUAAAAUAUCAAUAUUUUGUUUGGAUUAUAUUUCAUUGAAAUCUCAUUUUUGAAAAAAGCUUACCCUGCUUUUUUAGGUCAACAGGGUAAUGUCUGAUAUUAGCAUUUAACCUCAUAAGUCUUCUAGGUCUUUUUUAUAGUCCUUAUGCCGAUCAAAAGGUCAAUAAUUUCGUUAGCAGUCCCAAGAUCAAGAAAAAUAAGAAUCUACACAUAUUUCUUUUUAAAAUAUGUUGUACAAUCUGAGUGUCUUUAUAUUAGCUUUCAUUAUUAGUUUUCAAUUGAUUAUUCAAAAUUGACAAAAUCCUAUGCAUUUUUCACAUAAACGAGAAGACCUUUUUCAUGAUGACACAACAGCAUAAGUUUUGAUGUCAUUGAUUAAAAAAAACCGAAUGUUUUUGAAACAAAUAAAUUUUUAAUUUAGAACUAAGAGGAUUUUUAUAGCACAUUGAACUUUCCAAGUAUUUCCCCCAGAACAUAUAACUCAGUCUUAUUGCAGAUAUAAUUACUUGUUUGCUAAAAUAUAGCAAAUGCCCAUUGUUUAUAUUUUAUGGGAUUUGAAAUGUGCAUUGUCUUAAAUGCUCUAAUGAGCAAGAGCACAUUUAAGUUGUUAUCACCUUUUUAAACAAUUUCAUGGAUUUUUUAUGCUGAAAAUACUUCAAAAUUUAUGUUCAUGUGAAAGUGUUGAUUUAUCACAUUUUCAUCUGCAACAAAACCAUGAAACAUCAUCAGAGACCCAUAAUACCAAUGUUAUUGUGUUAUAAAUCUCUGUUUAAUAUAAAAUGUGCUUUAUUUUGCUUUAAUCUGGUGUCUUAUUUAGAAUGGGCAACACAGAAAAUUUUAAAACAUAUUUGAGUUGAAAAAUAUCAAUUGUAAAUUAACUCGUUUUUGUGAAGGUUUUAUUUCCACUUACUUUAAUGAGUAGAAAAAAAAAUGUAUACAGUCUUGAAGACCCAUUGGUGGCGGGCUGUUGUCUGCUCUAUAGUGGGGUUGUUGUCACUUUGACACAUUCCCCAUUUCCAUUCUCAGUUUUAUUAAAUAUAUAAAACUUAGAUCUCGCCUUAUAUCGCUCUAUUAUUUAAAGAAAGUUAGAACAUUAGGAAAAUAAAUUUGUGCAAGGUGACAUAUGAAGAGUAUCUCUUCCUAUUUAGAGGCACUCAUAGACUUGCUGCUGGUAUGGGUCACUCUUUUUAGAUGUUAUAAUAUAUAUUAGUGGGAUGGGAUUUCACUAAGGUAAUAUAACAAUGGGUUGAAAUUUAUAUGUCAAUGAAUCAUUGUGUUCAUCUUCUGUUAAGAAACCUGUAAAACUGUGUCCUGACCUUUUUUGUCCAAUAAUAUGAGUUAUACUGUAUGUGGUUCACAUCUAAAUAAGAUGUCAUGAUAACUGGCAAAUAUAUAAAGGGGUUAUUUUAAAUUUCCUAUGAAAUAUAUGAAUGGGAGUGUUUUGAUAUCUCCAGCUGGACAUCUGUACUCACAUUUGGCUGUUGAGACACCCAGUGGCAGUGGAAAUAUAUCAAUCAUGUUUGUAAAAGUUUUUCUUUACUUUUGAAGGGCUAUUGCAUAUUUAUGCUGUAGAAUAUUCAUUGGUAAUCAGAAGCAUUAAAAAGUAUGCAGUAGGAUUUUGUUCUUUCAUAGAUUUUCAAAACAAGUAUUUCAACAUUUUUUCUCUUCAUCUUUUGGAAUAAAUAACUCAAAUAUCUUUCAGUUAUUAUAAUUUUCCUCAAAACCUCUAACUCCAAUAUAUCCUAUGAUAGUAUGGUUAAGCAAAAUAAGGGUAAUGAUAUAUAAUUCAAUUGUUAGAAAAGUUAUGUUUUACCAAGUUCUGUAGGUCUAAGAAAGUCAUAAAACACUAUGUCCAUUAGCGGAUCCAGGGGGGCCCUGAGGGAUCCGGGCCCCCCUUUCAUGGGAAAAAUUUGGUUGAUUAUAUAGGGAUUCAAUGAAACAUGACUGGAGCGGGCCCCCCCUUAGGUCAGUCAGCAGGCCCCCCCUUAGGAAAAGUUCUGGAUCCGCCACUGAUGUCUACAAGAAUUAAGAUGACAAAUACAAACAAUAGCCCCAAAAAAAUAACAGAGUGACAAACACUUUGAUUGAACAACAUUUGUAUAACCUCACAAAAAACCCAGUUACAAACCUUUUGUUAGCCGAUAGGGUCGACAGGGUGGUUUAUGGGGCUUCAAUGACUUUCUCUUUUCUAGAAAAAAAACCCAAAAAGUACUAUUGAAAAUCAUUAAAGUGGAGACUGAGAUUGAAGUGUGACUAUCAAAGUACUAAAUUACCCUCACCCAUUGGCGGAUCUAGGAGGAGGGUUCCGGGUGUUGGAACACCCCGUUUUUUUGGACGAUCAAUGCAUUUGAAUGGGGACAUAUAGUUGGAACGCCCCCUUUGUCCUGGGUUGGGAACCCCCCCCCCCCCCCCCCCUUUUUAAAAUGGCUGGAUCCGCCCCUGCUCACCAGCCAACCUUUGCAUUCAAGCUACAGGUUCUGAUUGCGACAUGGAGAAUCUAUCGUAGUGAAUAUUUAGGUUAGACCAUAAGAAUUUAAUUGUUGGUCAAAUGUGAAAUUUUUUUUUUUUUUAUAAAAUAAAUGUUUUAUGAAGAAUUGUAUUGAUAAUGCAUUUGCACUAUAAAACUUGGUAUAGAUACUGUUACUUUGGUGAUUUUUUGUUGCCCUUUUGUCAGUUAUCAAUCAACUCUGUUAUACAAAUAGCAUUAUAUAAGUUGAUAGUGUUAUGAUAAGAUAUACAGUAAUAGAACCCAAAAUUUUCUCUUCUUAUUACAUAUUGAAUAUUCCAAUCUUUUUCCCAGUUGGAGAAUAUACAGCAUUAUAAUCAAAUAUUGACUUGGAUUUGAUUACAUGAUAAGGUAUAGAAUUCCAGUAAUAUGGCUAAUUUUCUCUAUUGAGCUAUGUUGUAACAGUUUAAUUUGUAGUUGAAAUUUCUAUAUUGACAAAGUCAAUAUUCUUUGAAGAGCAAGACAAAGUUAUUUUUAAAAUAAAAUGAACCCGCCUCCUACUUCUAAUGACAAAGAUACCUUGGAAAAAGUAAAGACACGCGAUUAAUCCUGAGAAAGUAACAAUUAUAGCUGGUAAACAUUGCCUUUUGAAACUUGUUAUAUCUAAAUUUACUGAUUUUCUAGUCCAAUAUUUACACACAAGAUAUAGUAAACAAUCCGUGCUAAUGACAGUAGUAGAAGUAGACCGCCAGUAUAAUGAUGUAAAUUAAACUAAUUAUCUGUCCUUUGAUUGACCUUGUAUGCAAAUAAUUCUGUCACCCCAUGGACAAACACAGAUGUGACCAUGGAAUACUUUUAUUUAUGAUAGAAGCUGAGAUAGAAGUAAAAAGAAAUGAGCAAUUAUUUACCAAGAUUGUUGUUAAAACGUCAGUUAUUGAAUUGGUUUGUGUUUUACAGAGUCAUUUAUAGUCAAUAUUGAGCUUGUUCAUAUGGAUUGCUAAACUUCAUGCCAUUUUUUCAAGUUUCAAUUUGAAUUGAACUCACACUGUGUCUGUACCAAGUCAGACUCUCUCUUUGAAUAUUUUUACAUUUGUCAUUUCAGGGCAUUUUAUAGAUAAAUAUGUGGUAUGGGCUUUGCCCAUUGUUAAAGCUGUAGUGUGACCUAUAGAUGUUGAUUUUUGUGUCAUUUAGUCUCUUGUCAAGAGUUGUCUCAUUGGCAAUCAUACCACAUCUUAUAUAUCUACAUCAUUUAUUGGAAGCUGUCAAUUUUGCUUGUAUACAUUUAUUUGAUUUAUAACGGACAGGUUUUUGGAGGAGUUGGUGGGGUCUGUUGAACUCCCAAACCUACAAUCUUUGUGUAUGUAUUUUUAGAUAUGUCAGAUUUUUGAAUUAUAAGUAAGAGAUCUUGCCUACUGUUGAUUUAUUAUUUUUUGAGUGGUACAACAUACCUUUUUUUAGCUCACCUGGCCCGAAGGGCCAAGUGAGCUUUUCCCAUCACUUUGCGUCCGGCGUCCGGCGUCCGGCGUCCGGCGUCGUCCGUCGUCGUCCGUCGUCCGUCGUCGUUGUUAACUUUUACAAAAAUCUUAUCCUCUGAAACUGCUGGGCCAAAUUAAACCAAACUUGUCCACAAUAAUCAUUGGGGUAUCUAGUUUAAAAAAUAUGUCCGGUGACCCGGCCAACCAACCAAGAUGGCCGCCAUGGCUAAAAAUAGAACAUAGGGGUAAAAUGCAGUUUUUGGCUUAUAACUCAAAAACCAAACCAUUUAGAGCAAAUCUGACAGGGGUAAAAUUGUUUAUCAGGUCAAGAUCUAUCUGCCCUGCAAUUUUCAGAUGAAUCGGACAACCCGUUGUUGGGUUGCUGCCCCUGAAUUGGUAAUUUUAAGGAAAUUUUGCUAUUUUUGGUUAUUAUUUUGAAUAUUAUAGAUAGAGAUAAACUGUAAACAGCAAUAAUGUUCAGCAAAGUAAGAUUUACAAAUAAGUCAACAUGACCGAAAUGGUCAGUUGACCCCUUUAGGAGUUAUUGCCCUUUAUAGUCAAUUUUUAACCAUUUUUCGUAAAUCUUAGUAAUCUUUUACAAAAAUCUUCUCCUCUGAAACUACUGGGCCAAAUUAAAGCAAACUUGGCCACAAUCACAAUUGGGGUAUCUUGUUUAAAAAAUGUGUGGCGUGAUCCGGCCAACCAACCAAGAUGGCCGCCACAGCUAAAAAUAGAACAUAGGGGUAAAAUUCAGUUUUUGGCUUAUAACUCAAAAACCAAAGCAUUUAGAGCAAAUCUGACAGGAAGUAAAAUUGAUUAUCAGGUCAAGAUCUAUCUGCCUUUAAAUUUUCAGAUGAAUAGGACAACCUGUUGUUGGGUUGCUGCCCCUGAAUUGGUAAUUUUAAGGAAAUUUUGCUGUUUUUGGUUAUUAUCUUGAAUAUUAUUAUAGAUAGAUUUACUGUAAACAGCAAUAAUGUUCAGCAAAGUAAGAUUUACAAAUAAGUCAACAUUACUGAAAUGGUCAGUUGACCCCUUUAGGAGUUAUUGCUCUUUAUAGUCAAUUUUGAACCAUUUUUCGUAAAUCUUAGUUAUCUUUUACAAAAAUCUUCUCCUCUGAAACUACUGGGCCAAGUUCAUUAUAAAUAGAGAUAAUUGUAAGCAGCAAGAAUGUUCAGUAAAGUAAUAUUUACAAACAUAUCACCAUCACCAAAACACAAUUUUGUCAUGAAUCCAUCUGCAUCCUUUGUUUAAUAUUCACAUAGACCAAGGUGAGCGACACAGGCUCUUUAGAGCCUCUAGUUUUGUAUUGCAUGUGUAAAAGGAACCUGGAAUUCUAAUUUCAAUGAAGAAUAAUUGUUUAUAGCCUAGGUUUGAAUACAAACUUUUGCAAAACCGCAAAAUCAUAUAUUUUGUAUGUAUCUUAAUGUAUGUUUGAGUGGUUGAGACAAAAGUGGAAAGCGCCAUACAUGUUUGCAAACACAAAUGCAUAUACCAAAUUGGCCAUGACAGAAUUUAGAAAACUACAAUACUAUUCCAUGUAACUAAUUGUCAAAAGAAAUAUAAUUGUAUUGGUAGCCUAGUUAUUUUAUAAUUUGAUAAUUAUUUUGUGUUUGAUACUAAAUGUGAUCUUAAGUGAUCCUGUGAAUGCAAGCUAAUACAUAAUUAAGCUGAUGAAGUUUGUAUCAAAAAAAUAAAAUGUCUUCAUUCUUUAAUUAUCAGAAUGUUUAUUAAGAUCUUAAGAUAUAGAAUUACAAAAAGCAUUAAAAAAAGACAUUUUUCACACCAACAAGACCAAGACUUGUGAUAGUUGUUCAGUUGUAUGAAUGACAUUGUCUACAUUUCAUUGACGCCAAUUGUCAUGAAAAAUGUGAUGUUGGUGCAUUGUAAUUGACGUCAUUGUCUUGUAUAUUUUUAGUAUCACAUCCUGUCUAUGAUCUUAAAAAUCAUUAGGCAGCAGGAUCAAAAGGAAAAUGUACAAAUUGCUAAUAAUUUAGGUUAACGAAUGCUUAGGAUUAUUGGAAUUAGCUAUUCAUUCACAGAUUUUAACAUUCAGUGAACAUAUAAAAUAGGUUUUAAUUAAUCCUGAUUAUAUGCACUUUUAUAGACAUCUUACUACAAAAGUUGAGGGAAGUCAACUUUUCCAUUUAUGGCAAAAUUAUUUGCUUAUUUAUGACUUUAUCAUGUUUGAAGAAAGUUAAAUUAAGUCCAUUUUAUAUUCUCAGCUUCCAGAAAAGUUUCUGGUUAAACCUUUGACUCAGGAGAAAAUGUAGUUCAUAUAAAUUAUUGAUUUUAACAGAUGAAGUGUGUAAAAAAACAAUAAAUUCUUCAGAAAUUACAUUUAGACUCCAUCUCUCAAAUGAAGGUGCAUAUCAACCUUUUAAUUCUACUGAAACUUAAUGGAAUUUAAUUGAAUUUAACAUCCUUGACAUCAGUUAAAGCAUGUUUAUUUCAGAAUGUGUUUAUUUAUGGGUGAAUUUCAUCACACUUUCUAACGUUUGUAAAUAUCUGUAGGGUAGAUAGUUUGGGUUAGUAACAUCAUAAGAGGUAUGUAACCCCACCGUAUGACAAUGUAAGGAAGAGUUCAAUAUUUAGGUUUCAUUUAAAAGAUAAUUUUGUGUGAAUCACUUAAAUUUGAUAUACAAUAUGCGAAUAUAAAUUCAAUUUGUUUUUAAAUCAUUUUAUUGUAUAAAGUUUCUAAUAACAUAAAAUGAAAUAACUACAUUACCUUAAAGGCACCCAGUAUAAUACAAUUAUAUUUGUGUUUAUAGGAAAGAUAUAAAAUAGAUUUUCUAAAAUGAUCAUAACUUUUAUCUAGUAUUCAUUAUAUUAUUGGUAUGCUGAUGCCCAUAUUUUAAAUAUUGUUUAAAUUACGACCAUUCUCAGUUUUGUAUCACGAUUUUCAUCAAAUGUAUAUAUAAAAAUAAGGAGAUGUGGUAUAAUUGCCAAUGAAAUAACUAUUCACUAAAGUUUAAUGAAGACGAUGCAAGCAAUUAUAGGCAACUAUACAGCCUUCAACAUUGAGAAAUACCCAUACCUUGUGGUCAGCUAUUAAAGGCCACUGCAUCAAUAAUAUGAAACAAUUCAAUUGAGAAAACUAGAGGAUAUCUUUUUUUGUGAGGAAAAAUUUAGUUGAUUAUAUAUAGGGAAUCACUGAGGCAUGGCUCCCCUUAGGUCAGUCAGCGCCCAAGCAUUUUUACAAGCAACCACCAUUUUAGGACAUGAACAUGUAUCUUGAAAUAUUGAAUCUACAAUCAUGUAUGUAAUUUUUCUAUCAUUCAUCAAGUCUAAAAAAGUCAAAAUCAACAUUUUAUAAUUCCCAUUCUUAGCCUGCAGUCUGUAAUUAAUUUCAGAAAUAUUAAUUCCCAUAGUUUUGUUGCUGCUAGUAAUUUUGUAGUCUGAACAUUUGUUAUCUAUAUUAAAAAAUUCAUCUGGGUACUGAAAAACUGUAAUCAGAGAUUUUUAUAAUUGUUUUUAUUUUAAAGAUAAACCAACAUUUAAUUAUAUUGAUGAAAUAUUAUACUUUCUUUUACAAUUGACAUGUUUUAUUAUUGUUAAGGGAAAACACAUCUCUAUAGUAAAAUAAAUCUUUAAAAGUACAUUUGACCCAGCUAACAAAAGUACAAAUGUUCUAUAAAUGGAACAAAGUUUCUGAAAUCUUGCACACUGAAAUGUACAUCUUCUGAUAAAAAUAGAAACACUAUGGUGUCAUAAGCAUGUGCAAAGCAUGUUAAUAUCACUAUGUGAAAAGCAUGUUAAUGUCACUAUGUGAAAAGCAUGUCCAAUGAUGAUGUUGAUGUCACUGAAUUGUCCAUCCAAUGAAUUUUCUUCUUUUGUUUUGAUUGACAGGUGCCAUAGGAUAACCAGACUGAAAUAAAGCAGAUUGAAGUUAACAUUUCAGAACACCAGAAUACAGCCAAGGAACCAUCAACAAAUAGAAGAUUUGUAAGUAAAACUGUUUUGAUAUUGAAAGUUUUUUGUACAGGAAAUUCAUGAGGUAUAAAAUGAAAGAAAUAUACAAUAUUAGGUCAAUGUCAGAAAAAUAUAAACUUUUUUGAAUGAGUCUGAGAAACUUGGAAAGGGCUAGGUUUUACCAAUUAAGCCCUUCUCCAGUAAUGUGUGCCGAAUACAAAAAAGUUAAUAUUUUUAUGACAUUGACCCAAUACUGUUUUUAUGCUGCAACUGAAAUUAAGACAUUGAUAGCUAUUUUUAAAAAUUAUAAUGCAUUGUACAAAUUUCAAACUUAUUUUCAUCCCUUCAAUACUGAACACCUGAUUGUGGAAAAAGUUUUCCAUGACGAAAUUGACAUUGCACAAAAUAUAGCUGUGUUUCUAUUUUUAGGAAAUAACUAGUUGCAGUAUGAAAAUAUUAGAUUAAUUUUCUCUUGAAUUGAAAACUUGGUAAACUGUGCAAACUUUAGUGUUAGAUACAUGUUUUGGCCACUCUUUCUGCUGUGAAACCAUUGUAGAAUUGUCUUUUGGUUAUCAUAACACAAUAGCUUUGGAAUAUGAUACAGUAGCAACCGCAUACAGCCUCCCUACAAUAGGCAGUGGCUGUCAUGUUUGGGCUCUAAUCAGUGGCGGACGCAGAAAUUUUCAUAAGUGGGGGACCAUUGACUGCUGCUCCCAUCACACUUCAGUGAUUCCAACCAACCAAAAUUUUACCACAAAAGGGGGCCCAAGCCUAAAUAUGCCUCUGCUAAAUUAUCACUUCAAAAGUUUCAAAUACACAUUACAGAGACCUUAAUGAAAGAUUUGAUAUAAACACCCUAGAUCUCCAAAUAUAAAAAAAAGAACAUGUAAGAUAUGAACUGAGAAGUUGGGACAAGCCCAUGCACAUGUGGCAGAUCCAAAUAUUAAAAGCUUUAAUUUUAAAAACUCCUCUAAUGUCAUGUAUUGAAUAUGAUAUGAUAUUUUCAUACAUACUUUCCAAAUACUUCUUGUGAAUUUCAUAGACAGUCAAAAAGUGUUAAAGUUCUUGAACUUUAUAAAUUGAAAAGGAGAUUAGUAAUUAAUUAGUGUGCCAAAAAGGCUCAAUAUAAUUGCAUGCUUGACUGGAUGUUCAAAGUCUUUGCACUGCAUUGUAUUUAUUUUCACAUGUUUCAUGUGUGUAUUUUUUAUAUGUAAAGAUCAAUUUUAUAUGGUUAAAAUUAUUGCAGUAUUCAGCAAUAAUGUUAAAACAGAAAAUUUUGAAGAAAGCAUUAUUUAAUACAGUGGUGUUCAAUUGUUUGCUGUAUAUCAUAUCUGUUUUUCAUUUAUGGUUUGUACAUAAAUUAGGUUGUUAGUUUUCUGUUUUGAAUUGUUUUUGCUUAUUGUUGAAGGCAGUUCAAUGACGUAUAAUUGCAUCCUCUACAUCUUUUGGUCUCUGUUGUAAAGUUGUCUCAAUUGCAGUCAUAGUACAUUUUCUUGAUUUUAUAUGGUUGUGACAUUACCAUAACUGAUUUUUGGCAAUAUUGCUUAUGUAUUUGCAUAUGUAUAAUGAUGAUAUCAUUGGAAUGUUGGGGUUAUAUUACAUCAAUAAAGACACAAGAUGUAAAAAGAAAGCUGAGUUCUGAGUUUUCCAAAUGACAAUAACCAUCAUACAACACAUGUGAACAUAUAUCUUUAGAUAAUGUAGUUUCACAUAUACCAGAGUAUAACUGACAAUAUUAUUUAAUGUAGAUAUAUUUUUUUCAUUCCAUUUAAUAUUCUGCAAAAUAUGUUACAAAGGACCAAAUUCCUGGUUUUAAUGAUGAUUCAAUGUCAUUUUAUUACUUUGGUCACAUUAGAAUUCUAACAUUAAAUGUCAAUGACAAUGCUUAUGUCAAGAAAUAUGUUUUAUAAAAUAGAUAUUAAAUAUUUAUAUAACUUACAAAGAACAGUUGUGAUGGGAUUCAGAUACAAAAUGUGAUCCUCCCACAUUAUGUCUUUCUUUUUGAAGUAUUGAUAGAUUUACAGAUGUUGUAAUCCAUCUUCUAUUUACAUAAACAAUAUACUUCUGAUCUGUUUUACCUGUGAUUGAAAUUUAAUUGCAGAAAUGUAAAUGAAACCUAACAUAAAAAAAAUGUAAAGAAACAGAUAUGUUGUAUAGAUAAAUACAAAAAGGACUUGAUAGUUGUUUAAUUGGGCAUAUAGGGAGCCCUAUUAAAGAUUCAGUUUCAUUUGAAAUCACUAAACUGUUGAUAUCAGUAAAGGGAGAAAUAUAUAGUAAUUGUUACCUACAUAAAUAAUUUUAGCUUCAAGCUGUAAAGUGAAGGGGAUUGAAUAUGAUGACCAUGUUAUGCCCCUGUCUGUCUUGGUGUAUCAUUCGAAUUGUAAGCGGUUUUGUUGAUAUUUUUUUAAACAUGCAGAGAAUAUUUUGUUCAUAAUAGGAUGGUGCACAUUUAUAUUUGAUUAAUUAUAAAAAUUAAGAAAGUUGCCUCAACAUCCUUUUUCACUGGACUAGUCCACAUUUUUAUUUAGUGGUCAGCUGAAGCCCACCGCAGGAUGAGAGAUUUUGUUGCUGAAUUGAAGACCCCUUGGUGGCCUUUAGCUGUUAUCUGCUCUUUUGUCAGGUUGUUGUCUCUUUGACAUAUUCCUAAUUUCCAUUCUCAAUUUUAUCCUUAUAGCAUUUGUUAGUUCUAUACAGAAGGACAAGACUUCUAUAUAAAUAGAAGGUAUCCUAGCAAUGAGGAAAAUUUUCAGAGAAUUCAAAUAAUAGCAAACUAAACAGAAUGUAUAAUUUAAUGUUGCGUUUUAGAAGAUAGAAAUUUAUAGACAGAAACGUUAUUUAUGGUUACUUGAAAAAAACAUGUUUAAAAACAACAUGCUAUAUUGACCACUGUACCUUUUUUGAACAGAAUAUACUUUAAAAAGCAAAUGUUUAUUAGUUUUAUAAACUUAAGCUUCAUAUUCCAUUUUUAUAUUAAAUUUUACAAUGAAAUUAAGUCUCUUUCACUUAAAUCAUUAAAAUAUCUAUUGGUGUAAACUAUAUGUCAGUACUUUCAAUUAUGAGAUAUUAUUUUCAUCACUUGCAUGAAAUAAACCCACUCAGAAGUUAUAUGGGUCUAUUAUUAUUGUCAGAUUUCUAUUAACCAUAUGUGAGAAUUUAUUAGUUUUUAUUUGCUUUCUCUCAAACAUAAAGUGAUUUGGGAUAUUGUCAAAUUAUAAUGGAUUAAGAAAUUUGAACUUAAAGGAAUGCUUUGUUGAAUAGGAUUUAAAUAUAUUUUAUAUUUAUUUUAUAGAUGUUUUUAAAAGCCAUGUUUUAUAAGAGUGUAUGUUAAUUGUUUUAAACAUACAAGGUCUGAAAUAUUAAUAUCAUACAGUGCUACACUUUUAGUGCAGUUUUACAAAUCGACAUUGAAUAAAAAACAAAUUGGUUUCAAAACUGGACUUGGGCUCCAUGAUCAGCUUGUUCAAUCUUUUUGGGUAAAUUUACAUACCUUUACCAUAUAAAAGAUUCAUACUGACCAUCAAAAGGAAGCAACAAAUGUUUUUGUGAGUUUGUUUUGUACAAUUAAUUGAAGAAUACAGCAUUGGUUUAUAUAUAUGCAGUUGACAGGUGCAUUAACCCAUGCCAUAGGUCAUAUCUGUGUGCAUGCAUUAGGAAUGGACCAUGGAAUGGUUGCUUUGCAUGAAAUCCAACUUGUGACAAUCUCUGGUGGAUAUUUCCUCUCGAUAAUUCAUGAUGCAUAUCAACUGGAGUUGUUGCACAGAAAAAAAUAUUGUAAACAUAUUGCUCAGACUUGACGUGCUGUUGCUACUCACUAGGUGGUCUUGCAGCCCUUUCUCUUAUGAUGAUAAAAAUAUCAAGUGUAGAUUACUUCAGUAAAUUUUUUAUAUGAUACAAAGAAAAAUUUCUUAGAAAGAGUUUCUAUCCUCAAUAAUUAUAGAUCCACCAAUGUUUUAUGAAUGAAUUUAAUUGGGUAUACACUAUUUCUACAAGGUUUUCAUCUUCCUCUGUUACCUGGUGAUGAUAUGAUAAUAUAUGAAUAUAACUUGCCAUGUAAAACUGCAGAUGUUUAUUGGCAACCAGUAUAAUAGUGCCAGUAGUGGAAAUUGAGACAUCUUUUUUGUUGUUUACAGAUUUUUAGAACUAAUUUGUUAUCAACAGCUUUUUAGAGAUGCCUAGAAAGAGCAAUAUUCAUUAUUGAAAUUUAUAUCUAGUAGUACUUUAUUUGUUGAACUUCAAUCACACAUCUUUAAACACAUGUUUUAGUCUUUGUAAUGUUGACUCUAUACUGUGGUAUUCCUCCAUUAGAAAAUCCCCCAUUAAAUCCUUUUUCAUCCUAACUACUUGGGUGAUCUCACAUUAGUAUGCAUGUAAAAUUUUGGGGUUAUGCGUAUGAUCCUGAUACAGAUCAUUUCAAAGACUUCAAAAUUGGUAAUUUACUAGAAGUCAGGCAGUGUUUGUCCAGAUAGAAUGACAUGUUUUCCUGCCAACUGCUACCUUGUAAACUGUUAAAAGCAAUUUUGUUACCAUUAGCGUAACUUGUCAGUUUACUACAAAGCAGGGUCAUCUUCAUAUCACAUUAACAUGUUCUGAUACUUAUAUGUUUGUAAUAUUUGCUACAAGACUUAAAAUACCAAUCCAUCAAUCCCUCCAUACCUCUUUAUCACACAAUGAGUACCCUAUGUUCAUAUAGUAUCCAAAAUUACACCUAUAAUUUAGUAUAUCCUUGUGUAUCCACUUUUAAGGGACACAUAAAACAUUAAAUGUAUUGUUUACAUCACAGUGCAUAGUCCUUUUCAUGGGUUAAAGCAAUGAAAGUCAAUAGGAACAAGGACUUUGAAUAGGUCCAAAAUGCCAGUAUAAAAUUUACAAUCUUUUUUUCAUUAAAUGGACUUGUUCAGAAAGAUGUUGAAAUAUGGGAACAUUUUUAUUUGGUCUCAUAUAGAUAGGUCAUGGAAUCAUUUCUGAGAAAGCUGAGACUUAGUUCAAGAAGACAGAAAUUUGUAUAUAUCUGAAUUCUUAAGAUUCUUAUGUCUGAUUCAAUGGAACUUUUGUUAUUUAUGACAAAAAUUGUGUAAAAAUGGGUCUAACUGAAUUUUCUUUCAUGUCAACUUGAAGUUUAUCAUGUUACCAAGCAACAUGCUAACUUAUCAGUCAGACAAUUAAAAAUCUGGUCUUUUUUUUAGAGAAAGUUAUAUUAUUACCACACGGAACCAACUCAUAAGUAUGUACAAAUAUCACACACAAAGCCAAAGCAAUGCUAUACAAACAUCUAAAGUUAGUAAAUGGAUGGUAUUCUAUUUACUUUACAUGUGUGCUUUUAAGAAAAUGAUUUUCUGUCAAUAAUUAGCAUAUUCAACCCUUACAAAAGGAACUAUUGUAGAGAACUUUAAUUCCAAUUAGAAAAACAAAUACAGAAGGUUUAUGUGGAAAUUUAAAUGGAUUUUUAUUGUAUUCAGACUUUGAAAAAGAUUGAGUAUUUUUGAAAUUAUCUGAAGUAUUAUAAUUAAUUAUAGAUGUCUGGAUUAAUCUAAGUGGUUAUUUUUUUAUUCGGAUUUAUAUUAUACAUCCAACAGCUGUAAGUUAAAACAAAGUUUUUUAAAAUUUUUUUCCUCUUUCAACAAAUUGUCUCUGUAAAAAAAAUGAAGAGUUUUCUUACAACAAAUAAAACAAAGCUUUUCAGACAAGAAAAUCAUUUAUUGAUGAUCCCAAAAUCCUGGGGUUAAAAACACAAAAUCCCAAAAUCCCGAGCUUAAAAACACAAAAUCCCGAAAUCCCUGGCUUAAAAACACAAAAUUCCGAAAAUCCCGGGCUUAGAAAUAAGAAAUCCUGAGGUCACUAAAUUCAAAGAAAAGAAAUCUGAAAUCCCAAAAGGAUCAAUCCCGAAGUCCCAAGCUUAAAAACACCCCAUCCCGGAGUCCUGAUAAAGGUCCUAUCCCCCUCAUUGAUGACUAGGACAAUGCUACCUGCAUAUUUCAUUUUUUGUGAGGGCAACAUCAAUGUACGAUUGAUAUGGGAAUAUUAUUGAAUGUCACAUGUUUUAAAUUUUUGUUUAUUUUCAAAACUUGUUUUUUGAGAGAUAUUUUCUGAAUGUAUGUCACUUUGGUUUUAGAUUAUAAUACAAAGCACCAAAGUUGAAGAAAAAAGCAAAAAUCUAUUUCUAUAAUUUAACAUACUUUUUCUUGACCUCUGGGAAACUAUUAACCUGAUAACAAAGAAAUAAGGAGAUGCGGUAUGAUUACCAAUGAGACAACUAUCCACCAGAGACAGCAUCAAACAGGCCUAAACAACAAGCAAAAUCCUAACCAUAUAGAAAUCUAUAACAGGCUCUACCCAGCAUGACAAGAUGUAAAACUAAAGAAAAAACCAACUGUUUGAUUUAUUCUAAAACAAUAAUGAAAAAAAACCAACAAAUAAUGACAGACGGCACACUGAAUACCAGGUUCCUGACUUGUGACAACCACAUAAAGAACCAGUAGUGUUAACAGACUACUAAGACUGUUAAGAUAGAUCGGCCUACACUAUAACCACAAGGACUUAUCUGUUUGACAUUAGGGGUUAGAAUUAUUUGAAUUUGUGUUGUCAUAAAUAUAUAUCAAAAAUGUGUUCUCUUUAUUCCUUUUAAAACACCUAACUUUGUUAUGCAUUAACUAAAGAUCUGUGUUAACUUUACAACAAAAUCUAGCUGAGAUGAUAAAUAGUUAAUGUCUAAUUAUAGAUACAUGAGAUAUAUGAGUGAUUUUUCUAGCUGUGCUCAGAAUUGGUCUAUUAAAAAAAAAAUUAAACUUAAUAGGCCUUAUAUAUUACAAUAUUCAUAUGAUAAGGUAGUUAUUUAUAGACAAUAUAAUGAAUUAUUCAUCUUUUUUCCCCUGUAGAGUUGUUUUAUACUGAACCUUUUUUUGUUAAAAAAAUGAAUACAUGAUGUAGCGGAGUUGUCAUACAUAGGAUUUAUAUUCUUUAUUGCUCUUACAUAGUGAUAUAAAACAAAGUGAGAAUGGAAAGAUCUAGUUACACAGCCUUAACUCUCUCAAUCAGUAAUUAAGUAGCCAUGUUCCUUUUAAAAUGGCAGUUCCAGAGUCAUUAUGUAAUCAAAAGCACAUUAAACAUUUAUACUGUGGAAAGCUUGGUGUUAGUUGUUUAUUGAAGGCAAUUCAACUCACUAAUUUGAAAAGUGAUCUCAGUUAUGACAUUUACAUUUGUGUGGUACGUUUAAUUUUCAAAAAUGACAAAAGCAUUGUGGAAAUUAGAGAUUUUGAAACCCCUGUGUAGUCUCUUUAAUAUUCGUGUUGGUUUCGAUUUAAGCUGUAAAUCCUCUUAGAUGUCUCAUUAGAUUUUUUUUACCAAUUGCCACCACAGAUAGGAUCAGAUUGUACAUAAUUAUACAAUAAUUCCUAAUUUUAUAUGGUGUAGGUCUAUUUCAUAUAUCGAUCAACUAGAACUUUGAUGUAAAAAAAAACAUAUUAAAGGAAUAAAUUUAAAGAAGGGUUACAAAUUGUUUUUUUUUUAUAAUUGCUAAAAAAAUCUUAAUAAAAGAUAUUAUAGCUAUCUGAUGUAAUGGUUGCUUUUGUAACUCUGAAAUCUUGUCAUUCCUGCAUGAAUUAUAAAAGAAUGGAUUUGGAUAAAGGUUAGCCAUAUUGAAUGAACAUUUCACUUACCAUAUUUUAUUAUUGGUUAUUUAAGAAGUACUAUUAAGCAUGCACUGUUUAAAGCGUCUUCAACUUGAAUUUUAUUGAAGGCAAACAAGAAAUGUACACGCAUAAAAAAAUACCAUACAUCAUUGAAAGUACAGUAAGGUUGAAAUUUAACUUCCGGAUAAUUGAACCUUAAACAUGACUGCAUUUUCCAUUUGAGAGGAGUUUGAAAUGUAAAAUAUUGUCAAUUUAAAUUCUCCUAAUUUACAUCUUUCUAUCAAAUGGAAACGUUUUCACUAACAGGAAGAAAAAUCUUUGAUCCCUUUGAACAAUUUCAUUAGACUAAAGAGAAAAAUUUCUUGCAUGGAAAAGCUCUUGAAACAAAUUGCAGAAUAUCUAAAAAGCAAAAAUAACAUCAAAUGGUAGAGGGGUAAUCCAUUUCCCCAAACUCUUCAUUAACAUCAUUAUAGAAAAUUAAAAUACUUCACAAUGCUGUUUGAACAAAGUAGCUUUGGUGAACAGGAAAAUGCCUCUAAGUGGAAGACAAGGAAUUCAUCAUACAUCUGAAAAGUUGACAAGAUUUAAACAAAGGAGGAGCUUUGUGUGUAAUAAUCUGUGUCUUAGAUGUUUACUGCUGCAAUGAGGUGUAGUAAUUAUAUCUCAGCUUUUUUAUAUGUUUUUUAUGGAAUUAGCGAUCAUGACAAGAUGAAGGCAUGGGCUCAGUUUUCCAUAAAAUUUUGAAAAAAUAGUUGAAAUUGAACCCAUCACACGUAAAUAUGCAUGGCAGAUUUUUGGUUGUCUAUAGGUGGAUCCAGGGGGUGGGAAAAAAUUUGUUGAUUAGAUAGGAAAUCACUGAAGUGUGACUGGAGUGGGUCCCCUCUUAAUGCAGUCAGUGCCCCCCUGCCCUCCCCUCCCCCUUUAUGAAAAAUUUCUGGAUCAACCGCUAUUGUCAUUUAAUGAGUCACAUAACUUGACUCAAUUAAGAGAUUAUACUAUAUGCCACAAACAUUCAUCUGUUGUUAAAGAUGUUUUUCACUCAUUGACACCUACCUACCCUUGUAUUCAUAUUAUUUGAAGGUUAAUCUUUACCACAGAAAAAAAAUAUGUGUUUAUAAACAAAGAUUGUCUGUUCAACAUUAGUUUAUGAUAUACACCAGAUUGGUAGUUAACAGGUUGUAUGUAAAUUUUCUUUUAUGAAAAUAAGAUUAAAAUUUUCAGUGUGGCAUCUGUAGCAUCUUGCUGAGUAUGAAAGUCACAUUUAAAAAAAAGUUUUCUGUAUUUGAUUGAAUCGGGAUUCAUAAUACCUGUAACCAGAAUCUUGUUUAACAGUAAAGUAAGUGUUUACCCAUGAAUAUCCUUAUUUUUGAUCCCUCUUUCCCCAGUUCCCACCCCACUGACUCCCAUUUCCCACCCUCUCAUUCAUUAUCUUUCUGUCUACAAUUCUUUUUUGACCUUUUGUAGUGUUGGUCAUCAAAAACAAGUGAAUGAUGCAAUAUUCUUUUGCAAAACUAUUGUAGGAGUACUUUUAUGAAUAUUAUUUUUUUUAAAUACCUUGACAUUUUUUCUUUCUCCAAUUAAGUAAUUUUUUUACUUAUAUCUCCUGAUAAAAACAAUCUGUUUUUGUAAUUUUGUACCAGAAUAUAUAUUUUGUUAUCAAUCAUAAUUUAUCCAUUUAGGUAUAAUGUUAUGAUUUUUUUGCUGGAAAGGAUGUAUGGUUUUUUGAUAGUGGUACAUGUACAAAUAUCAUACUAUAUAACUGAAUUUAAAAAAUAUUCCAAACAUUGAAUAAAAAAAGAUGGAACUAAUGCUUAAGGUCUCAACUAUGACACUUCUUUGGUAGUUUCCUUAAUUGUCCCAUGGAAUGAUAUACUCCCAAUUUUAGAUAACAGAAAUACGUAUAAUCCUCUAAGUCUAUGAGGAAAAUAAGAUAUCAGAUAAAUAUUGAAAUGUUGUAACUAAAUUCUUUGCAACAACUGCUUCUUCAUCUAUUUGUUAUUCAUGCUUUUCAAUUUAUUUUGUCUGAAUGGUUUUUAUACGACCGCAAAAAUUUUAAUUUUUUCGUCGUAUAUUGCUAUCACGUUGGCGUCGUCGUCGUCCUGCGUCGUCUUGCGUCGUCGUCGUCCGAAUACUUUUAGUUUUCGCACUCUAACUUUAGUAAGAGUGAAUAGAAAUCUAUGAAAUUUUAACACAAGGUUUAUAACCACAAAAGAAAGGUUGGGAUUGAUUUUGGGAGUUUUGGUCCCAAAAUUUUAGGAAUUGGGGGCCAAAAAGGGCCCAAAUAAGCAUUUUCUUGGUUUUCGCACUAUAACUUUAGUUUAAGUAUAUAGAAAUCUAUGAAAUUUUGACACAAGGUUUAUGACCACAAAAGGAAGGUUUGGAUUGAUUUUGGGAGUUUUAGUUCAAACAGUUUAGGAAUUAGGGGCCAAAAAAGGGCCAAAAUAAGCAUUAUUCUUGGUUUUCGCACAAUAACUUAGUAUAAGUAAAUAGAAAUCAAUGAAAUUUAAACACAAGGUUUAUGACCACAAAAGGAAGGUUGGGAUUGAUUUUGGGAGUUGAGGUCUGAACAGUUUAGGAAUUAGGGGCCAAAAAGGGGCCCAAGUAAGCAUUAUUCUUGGUUUUCGCACCAUAACUUUAGUAUAAGUAAAUAGAAAUCUUUGAAAUUUAAACACAAGGUUUACGACCA
rnacentral:lncRNA from 1 species